AUUGAACGCUGGCGGCAGGCCUAACACAUGCAAGUCGAGCGCGAAAGUUCUUCGGAAUGAGUAAAGCGGCGGACGGGCGAGUAAUGCAUGGGAAUCUGCCUGGUAGUGGGGGACAACGCUUCGAAAGGAACGCUAAUACCGCAUACGCCCUACGGGGGAAAGGGGGGGAGUCUUCGGACCUCUCGCUAUCAGAUGAGCCCAUGUCAGAUUAGCUAGUUGGUGGGGUAAAGGCUCACCAAGGCGACGAUCCGUAACUGGUCUGAGAGGAUGAUCAGUCACACUGGAACUGAGACACGGUCCAGACUCCUACGGGAGGCAGCAGUGGGGAAUAUUGGACAAUGGGCGAAAGCCUGAUCCAGCCAUGCCGCGUGUGUGAGAAGGCCUCGGUGUAAGUCACUUCAGUGGGAGGAAGG
rnacentral:rRNA from 1 species